rnacentral:rRNA from 1 species
GCUUAGGGCUAAGGGGGCUAGCGGAUGGAAGUGCUAGUCUAAGGUCGUAGGAGGUUAUACAGGAAAAUCCGUAUAACAAUACUCCGAGAACUGAAAGGCUUUUUGAAGUCUUCGGAUGGAUAGAAGAACCCCUGAUGCCGUCGAGCCAAGAAAAGUUUCUAAGUUUAGCUAAUGUUGCCCGUACCGUAAACCGACACAGGUGGGUGGGAUGAGUAUUCUAAGGCGCGUGGAAGAACUCUCUUUAAGGAACUCUGCAAAAUAGCACCGUAUCUUCGGUAUAAGGUGUGGUUAGCUUUGUAUUAGGAUUUACUCCGAAAGCGAAGAAACUUACAACAAAGAGUCCCUCCCGACUGUUUACCAAAAACACAGCACUCUGCUAACUCGUAAGAGGAUGUAUAGGGUGUGACGCCUGCCCGGUGCUCGAAGGUUAAUUGAUGGGGUUAGCAUUAGCGAAGCUCUUGAUCGAAGCCCGAGUAAACGGCGGCCGUAACUAUAACGGUCCUAAGGUAGCGAAAUUCCUUGUCGGUUAAAUACCGACCUGCAUGAAUGGCGUAACGAGAUGGGAGCUGUCUCAAAGAGGGAUCCAGUGAAAUUGUAGUGGAGGUGAAAAUUCCUCCUACCCGCGGCAAGACGGAAAGACCCCGUGGACCUUUACUACAGCUUGACACUGCUACUUGGAUAAGAAUGUGCAGGAUAGGUGGGAGGCUUUGAGUAUAUGACGCCAGUUGUAUAUGAGCCAUUGUUGAGAUACCACUCUUUCUUAUUUGGGUAGCUAACCAGCUUGAGUUAUCCUCAAGUGGGACAAUGUCUGGUGGGUAGUUUGACUGGGGCGGUCGCCUCCCAAAUAAUAACGGAGGCUUACAAAGGUUGGCUCAGAACGGUUGGAAAUCGUUCGUAGAGUAUAAAGGUAUAAGCCAGCUUAACUGCAAGACAUACAAGUCAAGCAGAGACGAAAGUCGGUCUUAGUGAUCCGGUGGUUCUGUGUGGAAGGGCCAUCGCUCAAAGGAUAAAAGGUACCCCGGGGAUAACAGGCUGAUCUCCCCCAAGAGCUCACAUCGACGGGGAGGUUUGGCACCUCGAUGUCGGCUCAUCGCAUCCUGGGGCUGGAGCAGGUCCCAAGGGUAUGGCUGUUCGCCAUUUAAAGCGGUACGCGAGCUGGGUUCAGAACGUCGUGAGACAGUUCGGUCCCUAUCUGCCGUGGGCGUAAGAAGAUUGAAGAGAUUUGACCCUAGUACGAGAGGACCGGGUUGAACAAACCACUGGUGUAGCUGUUGUUCUGCCAAGAGCAUCGCAGCGUAGCUAAGUUUGGAAAGGAUAAACGCUGAAAGCAUCUAAGCGUGAAGCCAACUCUAAGAUGAAUCUUCUCUAAGCUCUCUAGAAGACUACUAGUUUGAUAGGCUGGGUGUGUAAUGGAUGAAAGUCCUUUAGCUGACCAGUACUAAUAGAGCGUUUGGCUUAUCUUU